rnacentral:rRNA from 1 species
UACGAAGGGGGCUAGCGUUGCUCGGAAUCACUGGGCGUAAAGGGUGCGUAGGCGGGUCUUUAAGUCAGGGGUGAAAUCCUGGAGCUCAACUCCAGAACUGCCUUUGAUACUGAGGAUCUUGAGUUCGGGAGAGGUGAGUGGAACUGCGAGUGUAGAGGUGAAAUUCGUAGAUAUUAGCAAGAACACCAGUGGCGAAGGCGGCUCACUGGCCCGAUACCGACGCUGAGGCACGAAAGCGUGGGGAGCAAACAGG